AAAACAUACGCAUAAGUCAGGAAC
rnacentral:snRNA from 1 species